rnacentral:rRNA from 1 species
CUGGCGGCGUGCUUAACACAUGCAAGUCGAGCGGAAAGGCCCUUCGGGGUACUCGAGCGGCGAACGGGUGAGUAACACGUGAGUAAUCUGCCCUCCACUUUGGGAUAGCCACCGGAAACGGUGAUUAAUACCGGAUAUGACCUGUGCCCGCAUGGGUGUUGGUGGAAAGUUUUUCGGUGGGGGAUGUGCUCGCGGCCUAUCAGCUUGAUGGUGGGGUAAUGGCCUACCAUGGCUUCGACGGGUAGCCGGCCUGAGAGGGUGACCGGCCACACUGGGACUGAGACACGGCCCAGACUCCUACGGGAGGCAGCAGUGGGGAAUAUUGGACAAUGGGCGGAAGCCUGAUCCAGCAACGCCGCGUGAGGGAUGACGGCCUUCGGGUUGUAAACCUCUUUCGGUGGGGACGAAGCGAAAGUGAC